CGGACGGGUGAGUAACACGUGGAUAACCUACCUAUAAGACUGGGAUAACUUCGGUAAACCGGAGCUAAUACCGGAUAAUAUAUUGAACCGCAUGGUUCAAUAGUGAAAGACGGUUUUGCUGUCACUUAUAGAUGGAUCCGCGCCGCAUUAGCUAGUUGGUAAGGUAACGGCUUACCAAGGCAACGAUGCGUAGCCGACCUGAGAGGGUGAUCGGCCACACUGGAACUGAGACACGGUCCAGACUCCUACGGGAGGCAGCAGCG
rnacentral:rRNA from 1 species